UUAAACUAACAGCCAAAUGCAUACACCACUGGAUUCAAGAAUCCUAAACCACCCUUCACUUCUCCAAUUCUCUAUAAAUAAAACUGCAAAUUCUUACUUUUCCAAUUUGUAUCUGAAUUUAACAAAGUGAAAUUUGAGCUAAAGGGAUAUGGAUGCUCCAUCCUCUGAAUCCAUGUCAUACACUGAUCAUAUCAAACGAAGGCAUGAGGAGAAAGGCUGCCUCUAUGCUUGUUUAUUCACCAUGUGUUGCUGCUUUUGUUGCUACGAGACUUGCCAGUGCUGUUUGGACAUUCUCUGUUGUAAAUGCUUCUAAUUUAUUUAUGUACUAGUUAUUAUUUAUUGGAGUGUGUUCCAUGUAUGUGAGUGUGUUUCUCACCCUACUUUAUCUUUAUUUUUAUGGUUUUUCUGUUGUAUUUGAUCACCUUGAGUGAUCUAGCUAGCUAAUGAGUGUGCAUGCUGAGUGAAUUUGUAAAUUUGUAAUUGUGUGAAAUUACUUUUACAAGUUUUGGGUUACAAGUUUACGACUUUAAUA